rnacentral:misc_RNA from 1 species
AGAGAAAGACCAAGAAACAUAGGUUAAACGUUGUUAUAUGGACAAUUGGGCGUAAUUGAAUAUAAGAGGGUAUUUUUCUUUUUUUUCAAGUUUAGCUCGUGCUUUUGGUUCUAGAGGGUUAUACAAGGAAUAGAGACUGAGUCAAGGAGACUUAGUUAUUUAAGAGUUUGGUAGGCACUAAUUCAUACACAAUUUUCUAAUAUGAGAAUGACAGUAAGUACAUACCUAGUGUUAAGUAUGAAAGAACGAUCAGAGUAACGACAGGAGUUAAAUUGAGUUAGCU